CCCAAACGUCCGUCCGGUCACUGGCCCCUGGGCUCUACAGCUCCCUUUGCCUGCCCGCUCAACACCGCUUGUGUUCAACCCCUGCACAGCCCAGCCUUCUGAGUCCCAGUGGCUCCUACCCACUAGCUCCAUCCCAGUGCCAACUGUCACCUAGAAAAGACACAGGGGCCCGGCCUCAGUUCCCCCAAUGUGCCAAGUAGAGUUUGAGAUGGCCUGCGCUGCUGUCAAGCAGUUGAAGGGACCUGUGAGUGAUCAGGAGAAACUGUUGGUGUACAGCUUCUACAAACAGGCCACCCAGGGCGACUGCAACAUCCCUGCCCCACCUGCCACAGAUGUGAAAGCCAAGGCCAAGUGGGAGGCAUGGAACGAGAACAAAGGGAUGUCCAAGAUGGAUGCCAUGAGGAUCUAUGUUGCCAAAGUGGAAGAACUGAAGAAAAAUGACAGUGGAUAAGGAGGAGUGCCAAACAGAAUGAAGUGGCAUGGCUCCUCUGGUAGGGAAAAGGGCUUCUUAAAAGUCUGAUGGCUGAAAUGUCAUGAAGCCAUAAUAACUGUAGCUGAGAGACCUCAAUAAAUCACUUAAACUGCA